rnacentral:rRNA from 1 species
AUACGGAGGAUCCGAGCGUUAUCCGGAUUUAUCGGGUUUAAAGGGUGCGCAGGCGGCCAUUUAAGUCAGCGGUUAAAUCGUGGGGCUCAACCCCAUUCUGCCGUUGAUACUGGGUGGCUUGAUUGCGGUCGAGGUUGGCGGAAUUCGUUGUGUAGCGGUGAAAUGCAUAGAUAUGACGAAGAACACCGAUUGCGUAGGCAGCUGACCAGACCGCAAAUGACGCUCAUGCACGAAAGUGCGGGGAUCGAACAGGAUUAGAUACCCUGGUAGUCCGCACAGUAAACGAUGAAUACUUGUUUUCGGCGAUAUAAUGUCGGAGGCAAAGCGAAAGCGAUAAGUAUUCCACCUGGGGAGUACGCCGGCAACGGUGAAACUCAAAUGAAUUGGCGGGG